rnacentral:rRNA from 1 species
GACGAACGCUGGCGGCGUGCUUAACACAUGCAAGUCGAGCGACUGCAUUCUUUUCGGAGGGUGUAUGGAGCGGCGAACGGGUGAGUAACACGUGAGUAAUCUGCCUUUGGCUUGGGAAUAACUUCGGGAAAUCGGGGCUAAUGCCUGAUGUUUACUGUCUGCUGCAUGGUGGGUGGUGGAAAGAUUUUUUGGUCCGAGGAGUGAGCUCGCGGUCUAUCAGCUUG